CCGUUUCGGCCGGUUCGCCUGAAUUGCGAUAGAGAUUCGCCACGCUUCAGUAGGUAGCGGCGUUCGGUCACGUGGCCGGCACGCCGGUGGAAGUAUGCCUCCGACGACCUUUUUGAAUGUCGUCACUGCCGCCUUCCUUCACUGAUCGGGUCCCAUUUGCGUAUAGGAGGUACACAGUAGUCGGUAUACGAACGGGUCAACAAGCACGACUUGGUUGUAAUUUUUUUUUUACUCCGCCACGUGCACCUUCGAAAUAUAUGGUCCAAAUUACAAAGAAUCAAGCUCCGCCGCUCAUCAUAUUGCUCGUCGGUACUUUGAUGAGAUCCAACGGUCAAUAUAUCAAGUCCCGCUGACGAUGGUUUGCACGUUAACAGAAAGCCCUUCGAUACAGCACAGGAGUCGCUUCACCGCUCCACUCUCUCUCUCUCUCUCGUCGUUGCGUUUCCAACGCAUCUCGCCUUGUCUCCGAGAAAAGAGGGAGACGCUUCGGAAGGGUCAUUUUAUCGGCAUGCCAUGGCUGAUCAAGUUAAUCACCCAACCGUAAUGCAGAAAGUUGCCAGCCCAUUCCCCCUCAGGUCCAGAUUUUCUCGAGGUCCACAAGCUUUGAACUGCAGCCUGUGUAGCCACUCUUUGUAUGAGAGAUGUUUCACAACAGUAAAUUACACAGAUGAGGGAGUUCAGAAACCAUCUAUGGCAGUGUACAGUGGUAACUAUUAGCUACCCAUUGUCACUCUACCUCACCUGUGUUUGCCCAUGUGGCUGCGGAAAAGGCUUUUCAAGCUUUGCUAUUGAUUUCCUCAUAGGGGGUGUUUCUGCUGCAGUCUCCAAAACGGUAACUGCUGAUCGAAAAUUAGGAUGAGAUGAUCAAAGAAAUAACAGACUGCUUUGCCUUAACGAUUAAGGAUGAAGGUGCUUUGUCUCUAUGGAGAGGGAACGCAGCUAAUGUCAUUCGUUAUUUUCCCACUCAGGCUCUGAACUUUACCUUCAAGGAUUCCUUCAAAAGGAUGUUUAAUUUUAAGAAAGACAAAGAUGGACACUGGAAAUGGUUUGCUGGCAAUCUUGCUUCAGGUGGUGCUCUGCUGGUGCUCGUUCACUGGUUUUAGUACUCUCUGGACUAUGCUCGGACGCAUUUGGCAAAUGAUGCAAAGGCAGCGAAGAAGGGCGGGGAAAGGCAAUUCAACGGUCUUGGUGAUGUUUACCGGAAGACCCAGCAGUUGGAUUUGGCAUUGCUGGACUUUAGAAAGGAUUUAAUAUUUCAUGCGUUGGGAUUAUGGUCUAUCGUGGUCUUUACUUUGGGAUGCAGUUGACUCUUCGAAGCCAGUAGUCCUCACUGGAAAUCAACAGGUAAAUUUUGGCUUACCGUGCAAAUUAUACUUGCUUCAUAUUCUACUACAUUAUUUGGUGAAAGAUUUGAUGUACUUUCCUGGAUCUUGGUUUCUGAAUUUUAUAAGAUAAUCUUAAUAGAGGUAAUACUGGCUUAACUAACGGAAGUCUUUGGUUCCAAUAUUGUUUGAUAGUUCUUAUUGGAUAGGCACUAAACUUUUUACAAGUACUUCAACUGGACUUGUAGGCUUUGUAUCUACAGAUUGGAAGAAAUAUGGAUGACUUGCAAUAGACAUAUUGCAUGUUAUGAUACGUUAAUCUCUGUCACCAUCAGCCCUGAUUGCAGGAUAUUGUUGUGGUUGAUCACCAACGGAGCUAGCCUUGUAUCUUUAUCCUAUUGACACGGGAUGGAGAAGAAUGAUUAUCCUGUUGACACGGGAAGGAGAAGAAUGAUUAUCCUGUUGACACGGGAAGGAGAAGAAUGAUGAUGGCCUCGGAAGAAGCUGUCUAGUACAAGAUCUCUCUCGACGCUCUCACCCAAAUUGUCAAGAACGAGGGGGCAAGUCCCCGUUCCAGGGUGCCGGUGUGCUCGCUGACUACGACAAGAUGCAGCUGAUCGUCUUUGGGAAGAAAUGGUUUUGUUCUCUGAAACCAUGAUUUAUGUAUGCUGUUAUGAUUUAUGUAUGCUGCUUUCGUGAAGUUGCGGUGAUGGCAGAGAAAUGUCAUGUACUCUGAGGAUCUUUACUACAGACAUUGUUAACAGAGAUUUAACUACUCUGUUCUUCUUUC